UACGUAGGGGCAAGCGUUGUCCGGAAUCAUUGGGCGUAAAGAGCGUGUAGGCGGCCUGGUAAGUCCGCUGUGAAAGUCCAGGGCUCAACCCUGGAAUGCCGGUGGAACUGUCAGGCUCGAGUCCGGAAGAGGCGAGUGGAAUUCCUGGUGUAGCGGUGAAAUGCGCAGAUAUCAGGAGGAACACCAUGGCGAAGGCAGCUCGCUGGGACGGUACUGACGCUGAGACGCGAAAGCGUGGGGAGCAAACAGG
rnacentral:rRNA from 1 species